rnacentral:rRNA from 1 species
AACGAACGCUGGCGGCAUGCCUAACACAUGCAAGUCGAACGAGACCUUCGGGUCUAGUGGCGCACGGGUGCGUAACGCGUGGGAACCUGCCCUUAGGUUCGGCAUAACUCCCCGAAAGGGGUGCUAAUACCGGAUCAUGUCUUCGGACCAAAGAUUUAUCGCCUUUGGAUGGGCCCGCGUUGGAUUAGCUAGUUGGUAGGGUAAAAGCCUACCAAGGCGACGAUCCAUAGCUGGUCUGAGAGGAUGAUCAGCCACACUGGGACUGAGACACGGCCCAGACUCCUACGGGAGGCAGCAGUGGGGAAUAUUGGAAAAUGGGCGAAAGCCUGAUCCAGCAAUGCCGCGUGAGUGAUGAAGGCAGUAGGGUUGUAAAGUUCUUUUAACCGGGAUGAUAAUGACAGUACCGGGAGAAUAAGCUCCGGCUAACUCCGUG